rnacentral:rRNA from 1 species
GUGCCAGCAGCCGCGGUAAUACAGAGGGUGCAAGCGUUAUCCGGAAUUAUUGGGCUUAAAGGGCAUCUAGGCGGUUUUUCAAGUCAGGGGUGAAAACUUAUGGCUCAACUAUAAGCUUGCCUUUGAAACUGAAAGACUAGAGUACUGGAAAGGUGGGUGGAACUACACGAGUAGAGGUGAAAUUCGUAGAUAUGUGUAGGAAUGCCGAUGAUGAAGAUAACUCACUGGACUGAUACUGACACUGAGGUGC